UUGAGGAGAGUCCUGCCUGGCUUGGAUAUUUGUUGCUUAAUGAUUCAUUGGGAGCUGUUAAGGCUCGUUUGAUUAGUACUACUUAGUCGUUGUGUUGGUGUCUGGGGGUUUUCCCUCUUUUUCUUUAUCAAAAAAAAAUAAAGCAAUACUCAUGGGAUUUUUCUGAGGUUGUGAGGUAUGAGAAGCCGGCACGAUUUGGGUCAGGCUGUUUUUCAGCUGAUUUGUGAGUUAAAUUGGGUGAGUU
rnacentral:lncRNA from 1 species